ensembl:lncRNA
CGGGGUUGAGGGGAUGGGGGUCCACAGCAGCGAGGAUACGAUGGGAUGGGGGCCACAGCAGCGAGGAUAAAAUGGGAUUUGGGGGCCACAGCAGCGGGGAUAAGAUGGGAUUUGGGGGCCACAGCAGCAGAGAUAAGAUGGGAUUUGGGGGCCACAGCAGCGGGGAUAAGAUGGGAUUUGGGGGCCACAGCAGCGGGGAUAAGAUGGGAUUUGGGGGCCAUACAGCUGUGAUGUCACUAAGUCAUUUGUAGGUACCCACUAAAGCCAGCUAAAUUAGAGUGGGGGGACAUGUUGUUGAAGCCAGGUUACAUUCUGCAGGUCUAGUACAAAGCCCAGGGUAAUGGCUUUCUAGAUGUGGUGGACUUUACAACUCUCAUCAUCAGCUCAGGUUCAUUGGGUGCCCCUGGAAGACGAGGGGAAAGAUGGAGGUGUGACGAAGGUGAGAUAAAACAGUCAAAGUGACCAGAAGAAAAGAGGAUGGAGACGAUUCAUUUACUGCACGCAAGCCAUAACAGAAACCAAGAGAGGAAGGAUGAUAAGCAGAUCCAGGAAGAGAGAAGAGACUGUUGGAAGUCAAGAAAAACCUUUAGCUUCUGUGUUACGAUGCAUGUCAAACAACCAAGAUGACAAUGAAGUCAACUUUGGGGGGUGAAGAUGAUACACAUAUAUCUGUAGAAAUCUAACCUAUGAGGAUGAAAGCCUGGGGAACAAUUUGUAAAAUGUGUGUAUUUUUAUUUUUAUGUUUUUAUGAUAACUAUAUUUAUUUUCGUUAUGUAUGUAUGUAUUGAAUAAUUGUAUGUACAUGUUCAUUUAAUACUUAAUUCUUACUAAUUUAAUUUGACCUAAUUUGAAAAGUAAAUAUGAAACAUUAAAAAUGGUCAUUAAAAUAUGCUACUGUAUGUGUACAUUUUGAAAACAAAUUGUGUUAUGUUGGAAGAAAAAAAAUGAAUGACAAAGAUGAUAAUACAAAUCAAAAAUAACACCUGCAAAAUAAACAGUAAUGAAGAUGAUGGUGAUAAAAAGACAAAAUAAAUAAAUGGACUCGUG